UGGUAAGUGUGGAUUAGACACCAGUGUUACUUGUAAAUAUUUUGGUUGGGGGGUCUCAUAGGUUCUACUGUAGUCGUUCUGAAGCCUGCUAUUGACUAUACAUGAGUAAUUAAUUGAGAACAGAACAUGGUUGUUUUAUUUGGAAAAGGUGCCAAUCUAGGAACGUCUUGGGUCAGUAUCAAAAUACCAUGUAAUCCCUUUUUUGUUUUUUGAAACAGAGACUUUUGGGGGGACCUUCUGUAUUUUUACUUUGGUCUCUUAAUGGUUCCUAAUUCACCUUAGAUAUCCAAGUAGGAAUAAUAUUUGUAACACCUUUUUCUAAUUUCUCUAUCUAAACUUGAGCCUAAUAAUAUGAUUUAUGUCUCCUUUAGGCCUUCAUUAACACAGCCAAAGAAAUAUAUAGGAAGAUCCAGCAGGGUUUAUUUGAUGUCCACAAUGAGGCAAAUGGCAUCAAGAUUGGUCCUCAGCAGUGUAUUUCAACAUCAGUAGGACCCAGCGCCUCCCAGCGGAGCUCUAGUGAAAUAGGGUCCAACUCCGGCUGCUGCUGAAUAUCUGGCCUGGACUCUUUUUCCUUCCUGGAACAGCUUCAGAUCAAUAGGCUUAAAGAAAGAGGUCUUACUUGCUUUGGCUGAGAAAAGCCUCUUUUCAAGGUGUGAUGUUUUGCCUUUCCUCUUAAAAGACCAGGGAAGAAUUUGGGCCCUUACUGACCUGUCCUCCUUCAGGGACGUGAGCUUUCCCUAUAGAUUAGGGCUCUUCUCAUCCUCCUAUUUUAAUUUCUAAAAUGUUAGGAUCAAAGUUGAUUGUCAUGGUAGCUCAAAAAUAAAUCCUUUUUUAAGCAUACACAAUUGGCUUCCCACCAAGAAUUAGUAACAAGGGUCUAGGACAUUUUUCUUGAGCACUUGACUUUACUGGGACCUGGUUGGCUGGCCUUUGGAUGGUGGAUCCUGUAUCUAGGAAUUUCAUUGAUUGUUUUCACUUGCCACUUUGUAAGAGUUCUUGCAGAAGGCAGUUCCUUCUACUUGAACUGCUCAAGGAUGCUGAAUAAUUCUCUACCAUCCCAUUGCUAGUUUCUUUGUCUCAGAGUAACUAUAAAACUUUUGAGAGCAUUGGAGUUGCUCCUGGACCUGUGGCUACUUAUCAUCAUUACCUAAAAGAAAACCUCUUUCCCUGUUUGUUUUAGGGACCAGACCUAACACUGCAGUGUCUUUCACUAAGUUAACCCCCUACUGUUUCACACUUCUCAACGAGACCUAUGUAGACUUUCUACUCUAAUCAAGCUAAUCUGCUUACUGGACAUGACAUAUUUACUUCCACUUCUAGGCCUUUGCAUAUACCCUACUCUCUGCUAACAUUAUACUCAGUCCCCAAACUUUUCCUUCAGAAAGCCUUCUUUGACCUGGGAACUUCUAAAUAAUUAUUGACCCAGUAUCCCUUAAGCUUUCAUAUGUUGUUUAUUCAUAUGUAUAUUUAUUUAUAUUUAUGUUACUUUGUAAAUUUGUUUUGUGCGUGGACUCUGUCUCCCAUAUAGGCUGUAAGCUCCUUGAGAGCAGGAACCGUAUUAGCCCUUUACUUUUGUAAACCACUCCCUCCACUAUUCCUGCACAGUGCCUAGUGCUACUCAUUAUGUGAUCGGACUUGGCUGACAUACGUGCAGACUUGGAACAGGUUUAUUGUAGACUGCAGAGGAAACAAAAGGCCUUAGAGUCAUCUCUUUGUAACUCUCUCAGUCUCUUCCAUCUGCUUACCCUGGAUUCCAUAUUGCUCUUACCCUGCCCCUCUCUCCCUUCCUGGCUCUUUGCCUCUAUUCCAUGCAGCAUACAGUAAGGCUGUCCGCUUCCAAACAGUCAAAUAAAUGGGUACCUCUCCAACCAUUUUUCUGUUAAAGAGCAUAUACUACUAUCCUAAGCAAAUUUGCCUUUGCUUCACUUAUCAGGCAGCCUUCUGGGUCAGUUUUUGUAUCUUUUGCCUUGAUGUCCUGUUCUCUUCCGCAGCAUUGAGGUCUCAUGAAUUUUUCUAAUUUUUUUGUUGUUGAUGAAUUGUUUCAUUAUUAAAUAUAUGCAUGUAUCCAA